rnacentral:rRNA from 1 species
AACGAACGCUGGCGGCAUGCCUAACACAUGCAAGUCGAACGAGACCUUCGGGUCUAGUGGCGCACGGGUGCGUAACGCGUGGGAACCUGCCCUUAGGUUCGGAAUAACUCCCCGAAAGGGGUGCUAAUACCGGAUAAUGUCUUCGGACCAAAGAUUUAUCGCCUUUGGAUGGGCCCGCGUUGGAUUAGCUAGUUGGUAGGGUAAAAGCCUACCAAGGCGACGAUCCAUAGCUGGUCUGAGAGGAUGAUCAGCCACACUGGGACUGGGACACGGCCCAGACUCCUACGGGAGGCAGCAGUGGGGAAUAUUGGACGAUGGGCGAAAGCCUGAGCCAGCAAGGCCGCGAGAGUGAUGAAGGCCUUAGGGUUGUAAAGCUCUUUUAACCGGGAUGAUAAUGACAGUACCGGGAGAAUAAGCGCCGGCUAACUACGUG